GGUUUCGAGAACCAUACGCAACUGUGGUUCUUGUUACAUGUGAGGAUCUUGACGAGUUCAAAACCAUCCUUAAACCACGCCUGAAGUUAAUCGUCCAAAAUGACGAACGGGAAUGGUUUAUUGUAUUUGUGUCUAGAGCUCAUCCAAGUAAUGAUAACGCCACCAAAAUGGCAAAAAAAGUAUAUGCCAAGCUUGAAGUUGAUUUUAGCACAAAGAAAAGAGAGAGGUGUUGUAAAUUUGAUAUUCAUGGCCCUGAAGCAAAUUUUUGGGAAGAUUUGGAAUCCAAAAUUAUGGAAUGUGUCAAAAACACAUUGGAUAGGCGUGUACAAUUUUAUGAGGAUGAAAUACGUAAGCUCAGUGAACAGCGCUUCAUGCCAGUUUGGAACUUCUGUAAUUUUUUUAUACUGAAGGAAAGCCUGGCUUUUAUGUUUGAGAUGGCUCAUCUCCAUGAAGAUGCAUUGCGUGAAUACGAUGAAUUAGAACUCUGUUAUCUGGAAACAGUUAAUACGGGUGGGAAGCAGAGAGAAUUUGGAG
rnacentral:misc_RNA from 1 species